rnacentral:rRNA from 1 species
AUUGAACGCUGGCGGCAUGCUUUACACAUGCAAGUCGAACGGCAGCGGGGGCUUCGGCCUGCCGGCGAGUGGCGAACGGGUGAGUAAUGCAUCGGAACGUGCCCAUGUCGUGGGGGAUAACGUAUCGAAAGGUACGCUAAUACCGCAUACGCCCUGAGGGGGGAAAGCGGGGGAUUCUUCGGAACCUCGCGCGAUUGGAGCGGCCGAUGUCGGAUUAGCUAGUAGGUGAGGUAAAGGCUCACCUAGGCGACGAUCCGUAGCGGGUCUGAGAGGAUGAUCCGCCACACUGGGACUGAGACACGGCCCAGACUCCUACGGGAGGCAGCAGUGGGGAAUUUUGGACAAUGGGCGCAAGCCUGAUCCAGCCAUGCCGCGUGAGUGAAGAAGGCCU